AGUGAACGCUGGCGGCGUGCUUAACACAUGCAAGUCGAACGAGAACGGAAUAUAGCUUGCUAUAUUUGUCAGCUAAGUGGCGCACGGGUGAGUAAUGUAUAGAUAACCUGCCCUCUAGAAAGGAAUAACAGUUGGAAACGACUGCUAAUGCCCUAUAUGCCUUUAAUACAUAAGUAUGCAAGGGAAACGCUUUAGUGCUAGAGGAUGGGUCUGUAUGGUAUCAGCUUGUUGGUGAGGUAAUGGCUCACCAAGGCUAUGACGCCUAACUGGUUUGAGAGGAUGAUCAGUUACACUGGAACUGAGACACGGUCCAGACUCCUACGGGAGGCAGCAGUGGGGAAUAUUGCACAAUGGACGAAAGUCUGAUGCAGCAACGCCGCGUGGAGGAUGACACAUUUCGGUGCGUAAACUCCUUUUAUAUAGGAAGAUAAUGACGGUACUAUAUGAAUAAGCACCGGCUAACUCCGUGCCAGCCGCCGCGGUAACAC
rnacentral:rRNA from 1 species